rnacentral:rRNA from 1 species
UGCAGUCGAACGGAAGGCCCUUCGGGGUACUCGAGUGGCGAACGGGUGAGUAACACGUGGGUGAUCUGCCCUGCACUUUGGGAUAAGCCUGGGAAACUGGGUCUAAUACCGAAUAUGACCGCGCACUUCCUGGUGUGUGGUGGAAAGCUUUUGCGGUGUGGGAUGGGCCCGCGGCCUAUCAGCUUGUUGGUGGGGUAAUGGCCUACCAAGGCGACGACGGGUAGCCGGCCUGAGAGGGUGACCGGCCACACUGGGACUGAGAUACGGCCCAGACUCCUACGGGAGGCAGCAGUGGGGAAUAUUGCACAAUGGGCGCAAGCCUGAUGCAGCGACGCCGCGUGAGGGAUGACGGCCUUCGGGUUGUAAACCUCUUUCAAUAGGGACGAAGCGCAAGUGACGGUACCUAUAGAAGAAGGACCGGCCAACUACGUGCCAGCAGCCGCGGUAAUACGUAGGGUCCGAGCGUUGUCCGGAAUUACUGGGCGUAAAGAGCUCGUAGGUGGUUUGUCGCGUUGUUCGUGAAAACUCACAGCUUAACUGUGGGCGUGCGGGCGAUACGGGCAGACUAGAGUACUGCAGGGGAGACUGGAAUUCCUGGUGUAGCGGUGGAAUGCGCAGAUAUCAGGAGGAACACCGGUGGCGAAGGCGGG